GAUGUCCAAUAUAAAUAUUCCCUGUUUGAAAACUGAGAGCACAUCUGGAUAGACAAAUCCUUUGAAGUCCCUUCAACCCUACAUGACCUUCAGUGAUUUCUUUGAAACCUUGAGCUGUUCUUCAGUUGGACUGAUGGUCAUUUCGAAGAUGCAUUGCAGUAGGUUCAAAAAACUGGAAGAAAAGUUUAGAGAGAAGUUUAAGCUAUGGGUUAACAACUAAGUUAACCAACAAAACCACCUGAUUUCUAACCAUAUCAGCAGACUUAAAAUAGAACUGCAUUACAAGGGAGAAUCCUCUUAGAAUUUGAUGUUCAUUACUUGGAUCAUCAAAGCUCAACUAUAAGAAGAUUAAGAAAUGGAAGAUUUAAGAUUAGUUUGUUUGCUGAGAAUGGCGUCAUACGUUGUCUUACACAAUGUGUUCUGCUCAGUACAACAUGGCAUAGAGGUGUUGCUCCUCUCUCACAACUCUCAUCGAUAUCACUAGAAUUUGCUUAUGCUCAGAAUAUCUCAGGAGGCUCUCAGCAAAUUGCUUGGCUUCCAGAUUUGAAAAAAUACAGCAUAUAUAACCUUGGAGUAAAUGGAAUUCUUUGUCUGCUUUUUCUGUUUUUUAUAUGGAUGUUAACUGUGAUUUAUGAAUGUGCUUUGUUCUUAUGUUUCUUUUCCUCAAGAGAUUUCUGUAAUUCAUAUUUGUAAAAUUCUCUACUGUUCUCUGUUCCUUUGUACUGCAAAUACAUAUUCUCACUAUCAGUUUAGUUUAUGACCUAGCAGUAACAUGAGUAUCUUAUAUAUGCACUCAGAUACUGGCUAACUUUAAAUAAAUUAAUAUCUGUAUGUCCUUACUUAUCUCUCCUUUACUCGCUUAUGUCUCUUUUUCCU